rnacentral:rRNA from 1 species
UACGAAGGGAGCUAGCGUUGUUCGGAAUCACUGGGCGUAAAGCGUGCGCAGGCGGUUCUCCAAGUCCGUUGUGAAAGCCCCGGGCUCAACCUGGGAAUGGCAGUGGAAACUAGGGGACUUGAAUCUGGCAGAGGGGGGUGGAAUUCCACGUGUAGCAGUGAAAUGCGUAGAGAUCGGGAGGAACAUCUGUGGCGAAGGCGGCCAUCUGGACCAGCACUGACACUGAGGCACGAAAGCGUGGGGAGCAAACAGG